rnacentral:rRNA from 1 species
AUUGAACGCUGGCGGCAGGCCUAACACAUGCAAGUCGGACGGUAGCACAGAGGAGCUUGCUCCUCGGGUGACGAGUGGCGGACGGGUGAGUAAUGUCUGGGGAUCUGCCCGAUAGAGGGGGAUAACCACUGGAAACGGUGGCUAAUACCGCAUAACGUCGCAAGACCAAAGAGGGGGACCUUCGGGCCUCUCACUAUCGGAUGAACCCAGAUGGGAUUAGCUAGUAGGCGGGGUAACGGCCCACCUAGGCGACGAUCCCUAGCUGGUCUGAGAGGAUGACCAGCCACACUGGAACUGAGACACGGGCCAGACUCCUACGGGAGGCAGCAGUGGGGAAUAUUGCACAAUGGGCGCAAGCCUGAUGCGGCCAUGCCGCGUGUAUGAAGAAGGCCUUCGGGUUGUAAAGUACUUUCAGCGGGGAGGAAGGCGAUGUGGUUAAUAACCGCGUCGAUUGACGUUACCCGCAGAAGAAGCACCGGCUAACUCCGUGCCAGCAGCCGCCGUAA